rnacentral:rRNA from 1 species
UACGUAGGUGGCAAGCGUUGUCCGGAUUUACUGGGCGUAAAGAGCGCGCAGGCGGUCAGAUAAGUCGAAUGUGAAAGCCCCCGGCUCAACUGGGGAGGGUCAUUCGAUACUGUUCGACUCGAAGGCAGGAGAGGGAAGCGGAAUUCCCGGUGUAGUGGUGAAAUGCGUAGAUAUCGGGAGGAACACCAGUAGCGAAGGCGGCACUCUGGGCCGGUACUGACGCUGAGGAGCGAAAGCGUGGGGAGCGAACAGG